rnacentral:ncRNA from 2 species
AUGAUUCCAGUAGGAGAGACUCAUAGGUGAGCGCCGAAGGAGAAACGGCCAGAAUGUCGCAUCUAUUCUGGGGGAAACUCUCAGGCAAAAGUACUGCUGGAAGACG